ACCUUGCACUUUAUCUGGAGCCAUUAAUGUCUUUUCAGUAGGGAGAGUCGUGAUAGAAGUUAUUUUGAAAGCUGCCUCUACUCCCUCUGUGGGAUGUGACUCGAGGGUGCACACGACCGAAGGUGGGAAACCAGGACACUGCGGUGGUCGUGCAGGGGUCGGAUGACCUGACAGUGUCCUGAAGCAGACCGGCACACUGAAGAAAUCAUCCACGGAGGGACCCAGGAGUUUUGGCAACUGGUUCAUCUGGAAAGUGACGAGGCCAGUCGAGGUCAGCUCUUAGCCUGCUCAACUCCUACAGGCGUGUCGCUGGAGGCAUCUGGGGAAAAGUUCCCCAACCCGAUGAUGGAGUUCACGAUCUUUAACCUCAAGUUGUGGGAACCAUGACAACUGCCCUCCACGGCGAAACCGGUACGGCUCUGUGCUGUCCUGUCUCUCUGUCUGCAGAGGGAAGAAAAUGCAUCAACACAGGCCCUGAAUGCACAAGCUGGCUGCAUCUCACCUGGGAGGGCUGAGGUGCCUCGGGGGGGACACGUGGGGACGUUCAUUGCAACUCCAACUUCUCCCGGAGCACUCCAGGCCUGGCACCGGGCACCAGGGAGAAACACGGUGUCAUUUGGGCAAAGUAACCUCUCAGAGCCUCAGUGCUCUGGCCCAGCCUUGUUAAGAGCGGUCCAACCAGGCUUUAGUCUCUCCCUGCCCCAGGGCCACAGUCCUUAGCUUCC